rnacentral:lncRNA from 1 species
CUGGGGACUGGACUGUUGCAGCUGCUGCUGUGUAAUUCCAGCUGAUGGCGAACUUACUUGGGGUGGUGAUAGCACAGACUGAAGAGGCGAGGCUGUUGCCUGUUGCUGCUGUUGCUGUUGUUGCUGAGGCAGCUCAAGUUGUUGUAGCUGCUGAGACUGAGCUUGCUGCUGAGACAUAGGCUGCUGUAGCUGUUGCUGAUGCUGCAACUGUUGCUGUUGGGGUUGCUGCUGCUGGAGUUGCUGUUGAUUCAUGUAAGGAUUCAUUCCAGGCAUCAGCUUAGGUGGACCCAUGUUACCCAUAGCUCGCUGCAGGUUAGCUCGGUUUAAUGUAUUCGGAUCCAUCAUAGAUAGACCAGCAGAGCUGGGGUGCAUCUGCCUGGCACCUGACACGCCACUCAUCCCGGCUUGGGGAGCACCCAUUCCACCUCCUCGGUUCGCCAACCUAAGAUUUGUAAACACAGCGGCACUCUGUUGUGGUGUUAAAGCACCAGAUCGGAGUUGCUGGCUUAUAACAUUCAAAUUUGACGCUGGAUGAUUCAUUGGGUUCUGCCCCAUGUUAUUGAUGCCAGGAAGAGACAUUGACGAUGUGAUUCCGGUUCCUCCAAGCCCUCUUCCCGCCAUAUUCAUUUGGUUGCCAAAAGCCCCAAGCGCAGCAAUACUGUUGCCCAUGCUUCCCAUUCCCAUAUUCAUGGCUACACCUGACCCCUGUUGCCCCAUCAUCAUCUUCCUCUGAAUCGCCGCGUGGUGCUGUAACAUCUGCAGUUGAUGAGGCGAAUGGUUGUUGGUCAUCUGACCACCCAGCGCCAUGCCAGAGCUCUGGCUCAUCGAGUUGAUCGCUGAUAGAGGAUUUGUAGGCAACAUCAUAGAUGCCGCUCUCUGCAUUUGUGGAUGCUGCUGCUGUGUAAACAUGGACUGUUGAUUUCUCUGUUGUAGCUGUGAUAGCGGAGACUGUUGUGGGUCAUGCUGUUGUGGUUGCAUAGGCAUGGAGACACCAGACAACAGUCCUUGAGACAUUUGCAAAGCCUGAGAAUUUGUCGGAGGGAGCAUCCUUGCAUUUGCAAGAACAUUCUGGGUUGAGUUCAUAGGUGCACUUCCAGCAUUCCCUUGUUUCGAUGCCUCAUUGGGCGCUUGUCCAGUAACUGCAUCCCCAUACUGUUGCAUUUCAUUUGCAGAGUUACCUCUUGGAACACCACCCGCAGAAUUCUGUUGACUGCUGCUUGGCUGUUGCCUGUUGCUGCUGUUGCUGUUGUUGCUGAGGCAGCUCAUGUUGUUGUAGCUGCUGAGACUGAGCUUGCUGCUGAGACAUAGGCUGCUGUAGCUGUUGCUGAUGCUGCAACUGUUGCUGUUGGGGUUGCUGCUGCUGGAGUUGCUGUUGAUUCAUGUAAGGAUUCAUUCCAGGCAUCAGCUUAGGUGGACCCAUGUUACCCAUAGCUCGCUGCAGGUUAGCUCGGUUUAAUGUAUUCGGAUCCAUCAUAGAUAGACCAGCAGAGCUGGGGUGCAUCUGCCUGGCACCUGACACGCCACUCAUCCCGGCUUGGGGAGCACCCAUUACACCUCCUCGGUUCGCCAACCUAAGAUUUGUAAACACAUGUGG